rnacentral:rRNA from 1 species
GACGAACGCUGGCGGCGCGCUUAACACAUGCCAGUCGAACGGAAAGGCCUGCUUUCCCUUGUGGAUUGCGGGUACUCGAGUGGCGAACGGGUGAGUAACACGUGAGUGAUCUGCCCCCAACUUGGGUAUAAGCCUGGGAAACUGGGUCUAAUUCCCGAUAGGACUGCAGGGUGGUGCCUGUGGUGGAAAACGAUUUUCUAGUGGUUGGGGAUGAGCUCGCGGCCUAUCAGCUUGUUGGUGGGGUAAUGGCCUACCAAGGCGGCGACGGGUAGCCGGCCUGAGAGGGUGGACGGCCACAUUGGGACUGAGAUACGGCCCAGACUCCUACGGGAGGCAGCAGUGGGGAAUAUGGCACAAGGGGCGGAAGCCUGAUGCAGCGACGCCGCGUGGGGGAUGACGGCCUUCGGGUUGUAAACUCCUUUCGACCGCGAGGAAGCCACCUGGUUGGAAGGGUGGUGACGGUAGUGGUAGAAGAAGCACCGGCUAACUACGUG